ACCAAAUGUCAGUGUUUUCAAGAAGAUAAGGAAAAACCUACCAAAGGUGCCUAUUAGUGUACAUGGUGAUGAUUCCCAUUUCUACCACUUUAAUAUGGAGAAGACAGUGGACAACAUCUUAAAAAACAAUAUGCACAUGGCCAAAAUGACAUUUGUGCCAGUGACCGACUGCCACAGGGACGCCUUCAAUUCAAGGCUCUUUCAUCAGAGCAAGCUCUUUUGCAUACAGUCUGUCAAGACAAAUGUGGGCAAGGUAACUGCACUUGACAUCAUCAGGAUUAACACGGACCGGAGAGCACAACUUGCAAGAGUGGAGUCAAUUGCUUUUGAUAGCUCUAAAAGAAACCUGGUCCUUAGGUGCAGGCUGCUGUUCCGUGGCCUGGAGAUGAGAAAUCACCAGCAGUAUCACCAUAUAACACCAGUCAGAGAACAAAUUUUCAUCUCUGACGCCAUUGAGUCCAUUACACUAGAUGAUGUGGUGAAAAAUGCCACAGAUCCAACAGUACACUGGCCAC